rnacentral:rRNA from 1 species
UAGGGAAUCUUCGGCAAUGGACGAAAGUCUGACCGAGCAACGCCGCGUGAGUGAAGAAGGUUUUCGGAUCGUAAAACUCUGUUGUUAGAGAAGAACAAGGACGUUAGUAACUGAACGUCCCCUGACGGUAUCUAACCAGAAAGCCACGGCUAACUACGUGCCAGCAGCCGCGGUAAUACGUAGGUGGCAAGCGUUGUCCGGAUUUAUUGGGCGUAAAGCGAGCGCAGGCGGUUUCUUAAGUCUGAUGUGAAAGCCCCCGGCUCAACCGGGGAGGGUCAUUGGAAACUGGGAGACUUGAGUGCAGAAGAGGAGAGUGGAAUUACAUGUGUAGCGGUGAAAUGCGUAGAUAUAUGGAGGAACACCAGUGGCGAAGGCGGCUCUCUGGUCUGUAACUGACGCUGAGGCUAGAAAGCGUGGGGAGCAAACAGG